rnacentral:rRNA from 1 species
UUGACCUCAAAUCAGGUAGGACUACCCGCUGAACUUAAGCAUAUCAAUAAGCGGAGGAAAAGAAACUAACAAGGAUUCCCCUAGUAACUGCGAGUGUGACUGCGGAGGAUCAUUAACGAGUUUUGAAAGGGGUUGUAGCUGGCCUUCCGAGGCAUGUGCACGCCCUGCUCAUUCCACUCUACACC